UUUGGUGUUGUCCUUGUCUUUCAGAGGGCAGUCGAGCUCCUUGACUUGAAGGCCCACCAAGAGAUCCAAGAGAAUCAGAGUCUUAAAAAACAUGUACAGUUAACAUCUCACAACAGCACAUUAAGUACAUGUUAAGCUUUAGUUAAAAAAAUAUUUUACCCUUUGUAGGUUGCACUGUUUAAAAAGAAAGUCUCAAGUUUAGAGGAAGCUGUGAAGGAACUGGAAGAGAAGAACCUGGAGAUGAUUAGUGGUCUGGUUGAGCAGAGGCUGGAUGAUCUACAGAUGUCCAGGUAAACUCUUAUACAGCUCAUCAAUGGAGAUCAUCUUCUUUUGUCACAGUAACUAAUAAUUAUUCCAUUGUGCAUUAUACAGGCCUGUGUGCAACAGGAAUGUCUUCUUGACUCAGACCAUAGGACCAGCCGACUUCUGGGACAAAACGACAGAAACAGCAUCAACAGAGAGAGCCACUGGGUCCCAGACCCCUGUUGGGCUGGGAGCUGAAGUUCAGGUGGACGAAGGUGACCGCAGCAGCAGCCCUUCAAGGGUUGGGCUGCAUGACGUGGGCGUCGUACUGUACGGCAGGCAGGCUGACCUUCAGGAGUCCAAGCACCCGGUCCUACUGGAGAAGAGGGUGCUGAUGGUGAUUGGUCAGGCGGCCACGCUACACACCAGCAUCAUCUCCUCGGGCUCUGAGGAUUGGCCAGUGACCAGCCGCAUGAUCCAGAACAGGUUCCAGUAGUUCACCAGGACGAGAUCUUCCUUUUUUAGGAAAGAGGAACAACCAUGGACCACCAAAACCCCAGCUUUUACACGCUGUGAAGUCCAGGCCUUCCUCUCGUGCAGACCUGAAGACCUAAACAUUUACAGCAUUAAUCCAGAGUGGCUUACAAAAGUACUUUUCGACGUCCAUCAUUCAAAAUACAUCACUUGGUUGACUAGGUUACCGCACCCGUCUUCACAUGACUUCCAAAUACAUUUCAAUCAUUUUCAAGACGCACACACGCACGUUCAGUCUGAAAUUGAUGUUGUGGAAGCUGCACUUUAUUUGAAAAUAAACCAUGUUUUGCUUACA
rnacentral:lncRNA from 1 species